rnacentral:rRNA from 1 species
UACGAAGGGGGCUAGCGUUGCUCGGAAUCACUGGGCGUAAAGCGCACGUAGGCGGCUUUUUAAGUCAGGGGUGAAAUCCUGGAGCUCAACUCCAGAACUGCCUUUGAUACUGAGAGGCUUGAGUCCGGGAGAGGUGAGUGGAACUGCGAGUGUAGAGGUGAAAUUCGUAGAUAUUCGCAAGAACACCAGUGGCGAAGGCGGCUCACUGGCCCGGUACUGACGCUGAGGUGCGAAAGCGUGGGGAGCAAACAGGG